rnacentral:rRNA from 1 species
UACGAAGGGGGCUAGCGUUGUUCGGAAUUACUGGGCGUAAAGGGCGCGUAGGCGGCCUGUUAAGUCGAACGUGAAAUCCCCGGGCUCAACCCGGGAACUGCGUCCGAUACUGGCAGGCUUGGAAUCCGGGAGAGGGAUGCGGAAUUCCAGGUGUAGCGGUGAAAUGCGUAGAUAUCUGGAGGAACACCGGUGGCGAAGGCGGCAUCCUGGGCCGGUAUUGACGCUGAGGCGCGAAAGCCAGGGGAGCAAACGGGG